rnacentral:tRNA from 1 species
GGAUAUGGCUCAGGGGUAGAGCGUCAGCUUUCCAAGCAGAAGGGUCCUGGUUCAAUCCCCAGCAUCUCCA